AUACGGAGGGUGCAAGCGUUAUUCGGAAUCACUGGGCGUAAAGGACGCGUAGGCGGGUUUGUAAGUCAGGUGUGAAAUCCUACAGCUUAACUGUAGAACUGCACUUGAAACUACAGACCUAGAGUAUGGGAGGGGCAGAUGGAAUUAGUGGUGUAGGGGUAAAAUCCGUAGAUAUCACUAGGAAUACCGAAAGCGAAGGCGAUCUGCUGGAACAUAACUGACGCUAAGGCGUGAAAGCGUGGGGAGCAAACAGGAUUAGAUACCCUGGUAGUCC
rnacentral:rRNA from 1 species